UCUGUAUUCUUCUCCCUGCAGUAAUCUGUAUUUUGACCUGCUUGCUGUUGAUCACCAGCACCACCUGCCUUGCUUUGCCCCUCUGGAUUUGUUUUCCUGUCUGGGCUUCCUUCCUGGUGUUGACCCUUGCCUGCCUCACCAUUCUCAGCUGCGACAGAUAUUGAUGACAGAAGACCGGAAGGCUGGAAGGGAGCUGGAAGCUUCUCAUGACAGAAAUGAACAGUGAUUCAGCGCCGAGGAAGUUUUCAAUAAAACGCAGUACAUCACAGCUGGACAUUUUAGCCGGCUCCCAUGACACCAAGUGCUCGAGAUCAUGAUCCCAUUAUCAGUCUUGAUAGUGUGUCAGAGCACAAAGAGGAGGAAAUUCUUCCGAUCGGCCUCACAUGAGACCCUCCGGUUCAUCCCGUUCCAGCCACGUGGUCGAGCGUUCGCCACAGGGGAGGGAAAUCUCAGAGGAAGUGAUGCAGUUUUACACACGAGCCGGCUUUUCGCCCCUCGCCUUUGAGCACUGCUGUUUGGAUCAACUACUGUACUCCUCUGGUUCCUGGUGUGGUUGGAUGACCUGUCAUACAAACCAGGACCAAAGCAUAACCACAGUUUGACAGAAGCACAAGGAGAGCAGAACACCAGCCACUGGUCACACCAGGCCAACUGCAGCUGAGAGCAGUGGGUAGACAAAAGGUAUGUAUUAAUGCUUAUUAAAUCAACUUUUAUUUGGAAGAGAGUAAAAACCAGAUUUCUUCUCUCAAAAGUCCCAAAGUCUUGCCCCAAAGUAUUUUCCUAUUUUUAUCCCAACUCGUGCUUCUAAUAUUCAGGCCUGCUGUGACCAAUCCAUAACUGUAAUUGCCGGUCCUCCUCCCACAUCUGCUGAGGUUAAAGGAAAACUCUUGAUGUAACUUCAUUGAGCCAAAGAUAGCAGUCAUACGUGACCGCAUCACAGCGAGGCAGGCACGGCAAGCCCAAGCGGGGCAGGGUGGAUCAAAAUCUGACGAUACAGCUGUUGAUGUCAUG